UUGUCGGUUCAGGUUCGAAUCCUUGUCUUUUUUGUUGUUGUCCCUAUUCUCUAGUUUUCCUGUUUUUGUUUCUUGUUUUGUAAGUUAUUGUGGAUAUUUUGUUUAAUAAAAGCGAGUUUGAUCGUUUAUUAUCGGAUCAUUGUUGGCUAUUCCACAUGUUUAAAACAAAAAUGUUUACAUUCUAGGUGUCCAUUUUUGUUUUAUAGAUUAAUAUAGUAUGAUUU
rnacentral:lncRNA from 1 species